UGUAGGCUCAGGCAAUAAGGUAUCAAUAAAAAGUCUAGCUUAUCUUUUAAAAACCUGAACUUAUAUAUAUAGUGUUGAAAAUUUUUGGAAGAUUGCUUUAAGCAGGCUAUCAUGAAAUGUAGGUGUUAGCUUAGCAGCAUUCCCCUGUGUCUAUUCCAAUUCUAGUUGUGCCACUUUGAAUGUUGUGGCCACUGGGGGAAAUAGGGUGGAAAAGAGAUAAUGAAAGAAUGUUCCAGGAUCACUGAAAAUACAUGGUGGUAGUCCCACAAUGAAUAAUAUCAGUGCAGACAACUAACCUGUGAGAGGGCAUGAGAAAAUCCUAUGUCACCCUGUUGCCUCCCUUAUGUUGGAAGUGCCAGGAGCAACAGCUGUGCCAAGGGCUAUUCCAGUGGUGCCCGAAACAUAAAAGGUCUGAGAUCAUCAACAUGUGUCCUGUCCAUCUCCUGACGUCCUCCCUCCAGAAGGGCUCUAGGUGUAUCUUUGUUAUAGCAAAGGGCCCUGUCUCUACUUCCUGAUGAGGUGAGAAUCUGGUUUUAAUAUGACCAACAUCA